UACGUAGGGUCCGAGCGUUGUCCGGAAUUAUUGGGCGUAAAGGGCUCGUAGGCGGUCUGUUGCGUCGGGAGUGAAAACUUACAGCUUAACUGUGAGCGUGCUUUCGAUACGGGCAGACUUGAGGCAUUCAGGGGAGAACGGAAUUCCCGGUGUAGCGGUGAAAUGUGUAGAGAUCGGGAGGAACACCGGUGGCGAAGGCGGCCUUCUGGACGGUGACUGACGCUGAGGUACGAAGGCAUGGGUAUCGAUUGGG
rnacentral:rRNA from 1 species